CAGUAGCCACGGUAAUACGAAGGGGGCUAGCGUUGUUCGGAUUAACUGGGCGUAAAGGGCGCGUAGGCGGGUUUUUAAGUCAGAGGUGAAAUCCCAAGGCUCAACCUUGGAACUGCCUUUGAUACUGGAAGUCUUGAGUCCGGGAGAGGUGAGUGGAACUGCGAGUGUAGAGGUGAAAUUCGUCGAUAUUCGCAAGAACACCAGUGGCGAAGGCGGCUCACUGGCCCGGUACUGACGCUGAGGCGCGAAAGCGUGGGGAGCAAACAUGAUUAGAUACCCCAGUAGUCCCUGUCUCUUAUAC
rnacentral:rRNA from 1 species